UACAGAGGGUGCGAGCGUUUAAUCGGAAUUACUGGGCGUAAAGCGUGCGUAGGCGGUUUGUUAAGUCUGUUGUGAAAUCCCCCGGGCUCAACCUGGGAAUGGCAAUGGAUACUGGCAAGCUAGAGUGUGAUAGAGGAUGGUGGAAUUCCCGGUGUAGCGGUGAAAAUGCGUAGAGAUCGGGAGGAACAUCAGUGGCGAAGGCGGCCAUCUGGAUCAACACUGACGCUGAGGCACGAAAGCGUGGGGAGCAAACAGG
rnacentral:rRNA from 1 species